AAUAGAUACCCAGGUAGUCCACGCCGUAAACGAUGAGUGCUAAGUGUUAGAGGGUUUCCGCCCUUUAGUGCUGCAGCUAACGCAUUAAGCACUCCGCCUGGGGAGUACGGUCGCAAGACUGAAACUCAAAGGAAUUGACGGGGGCCCGCACAAGCGGUGGAGCAUGUGGUUUAAUUCGAAGCAACGCGAAGAACCUUACCAGGUCUUGACAUCCUCUGACAACUCUAGAGAUAGAGUGUUCCCCUUCGGGGGACAGAGUGACAGGUGGUGCAUGGUUGUCGUCAGCUCGUGUCGUGAGAUGUUGGGUUAAGUCCCGCAACGAGCGCAACCCUUGAUCUUAGUUGCCAGCAUUUAGUUGGGCACUCUAAGGUGACUGCCGGUGACAAACCGGAGGAAGGUGGGGAUGACGUCAAAUCAUCAUGCCCCUUAUGACCUGGGCUACACACGUGCUACAAUGGAUGGUACAAAGGGCUGCAAGACCGCGAGGUCAAGCCAAUCCCAUAAAACCAUUCUCAGUUCGGAUUGUAGG
rnacentral:rRNA from 1 species